rnacentral:tRNA from 2 species
AGGGAGACCUAAUUCGGGUAUGGGACGAAAAAAAAGUAGUCGCUACCAAGAAUCAAUCCCAAAAGGUCGGAGCGAGGCAAGAUUGGCUUUCAAACUAGGUUCUGGGUUCACACAAGACCUGAAUCAGGAACAAGGGCUAUUAGCUCAGGUGGUUAGAGCGCACCCCUGAUAAGGGUGAGGUCCCUGGUUCGAGUCCAGGAUGGCCCACCUGCACAGGUGGAAAAAAGAAAAGAAGCUCCGAAUCAGCACCUUAUCUUACUUAUAUAGUAAGAGAGAAUGCUGGCUCUGAGUACAGAGUCCAGAGGAACCUUGAAAACUGCAUAGAGCUAGGUGAAAAAGCCAAAAAAGAAGACCGCAAGGUCAAGCUAAUAAGGGCUAACGGUGGAUACCUAG